GACGAACGCUGGCGGCGUGCUUAACACAUGCAAGUCGAACGGACAGGCCCGGCUUUUGUGGGGUGCUCGAGGGGCGAACGGGUGAGUAACACGUGAGUAACGUGUCAUUGACUGUGGGAUAACUUAAGGAAACUGGGGCUAAUACCGGGUAGGAGCUCUUGCUGUUUGGUGGGGGUUGGAAAGUUUCGGCGGUUGGGGAUGGGCUCGGGGCUCAUCGGCUUCGUGGUGGGGUAGGGGCUUACCAAGGCUUUGCCGGGUAGCCGGAGUGAGAGGGUGACCGGCCACAUCGGGAUUGAGAUAGGGCCCAGACUCAUACGGGAGCGAGCAGUGGGGAUGAGGAAACAAGGGGCGGAAGCGAGAUGCUGCAGCGCCGCGUGCGGGAUAAUGACCUUCGGGUUAGAAUCGGAUUACGCUUUUACCGAAGAGGGUAUGACGGUAACGGGUAGAGAAGCACCGGCUAACUACGUG
rnacentral:rRNA from 1 species